UACGUAGGGUGCGCGCGUUAAGCGGAAUUACUGGGCGUAAAGCGUGCGCAGGCGGUUCGCUAAGACCGAUGUGAAAUCCCCGGGCUUAACCUGGGAACUGCAUUGGUGACUGGCGAGCUAGAGUGUGGCAGAGGGGGGUAGAAUUCCACGUGUAGCAGUGAAAUGCGUAGAGAUGUGGAGGAAUACCGAUGGCGAAGGCAGCCCCCUGGGCUAACACUGACGCUCAUGCACGAAAGCGUGGGGAGCAAACAGG
rnacentral:rRNA from 1 species